rnacentral:lncRNA from 1 species
UCGGGCAGUCUAUACCGUCCAAAUCCCACUGCACUUACAAGUGCUGAAACACGCAAACCACGCACCCCCAACAAACAACACUAGUUCCCAAACGCAGCAAUCGCGCACCAAUUGUUCUGAUCUAACAUUACGUUCACUGUUAUUAAACGAUGGUAAGCAGUAACAGAAUUUUCAGCCGUACAAACAAUUCCAUGCAACUUACACCACUUUCUCUGAUAUCACUCCAGCACAAGCAGCCUGACACUUCACACUUCCAUCCAAUAGGCAAUUGACACCCCAGCUCCUAUAAAUGAAGAACUACACACAUACCCAACACACACUAAAGCAGCACACUUUUUUACGCAGAUCAGAUCCCACACACUUAGUUGGUUAACCAUUAUCAGUUGUUGAAGUACGUGCAGUACUUGUGAGCAGAAAACACUUAUAACCAAACCUCAAGAAUGCAGCAGUUUACCCUUACAGGGUUGUUACGUCAUUUAGUAGUCUUCCUGCGCUUUAAAUCGACAUGUUCUCAUUGCAGCCAAAUCAGUCAGGUGCAUCCCAGUGUUAUUGCAAGACAGGAGAAACGGCAGUAGCGCCCAGCGGAGUUUGUAAUACCUGCUCAAACAAGAAAACACUACCCCACGCACCACCCGCCAACCAAAACGACAUCGUUUACCAUUACCAGUACUUAGGUUUCUUAUUUAUUAAGCGAGUUUAGUUUGUAUUAGGGUUUACUGUCAAUUUGUUGUUAGACAACCAAGUUGCAUGUAUGCAAAACCUCCAAAGAACACAUUGCAAGCCACAUUACAAAUGCAAGUGCAUUAAGAUGCAAAAGACAAACCCAAAAACCUAAAUACUCUCACCUGACAUUCUAUCAACCAUAGCCGUAUAUACACGUUUGUGUAGCACUCUUCUUAAAACGUCCACCAGUCUAUACCGUCCAAAUCCCACUGCACUUACAAGUGCUGAAACACGCAAACCACGCACCCCCAACAAACAACACUAGUUCCCAAACGCAGCAAUCGCGCACCAAUUGUUCUGAUCUAACAUUACGUCAACUAUUAUUAAACGAUGGUAAGCAGUAACAGAAUUUUCAGCCGUACAAACAAUUCCAUGCAACUUACACCACCUCUGAUAUCACUCCAGCACAAGCAGCCUGACACUUCAACAGGCGCCGUUCCCAACAACACGCAAGCAGCUGCACCACACAUGCCAACCCCAGUGUCCAAUCAACAAAUCGCAUUUCACUACUAUUGAAACGUAACUAUUCUUAGUAAAUCACUUUUUAAACAAACCUUACGCACUCACGGUAAAUGCUCCCAUUGUGUAGUAAAAGGAUGUUAUCACUUGCGCACAUCCACUCGCAUUGCGCGUUAGCAAGGCUGCAAAAAUAUAAACUACUCCCAUUUUUCAUUUCACCCCCCCACAGUUGCCAUUUUUUCUGUCAUUGUAGAUUUAAACUAUCAAUUUCUCUUCAAUAGAUAUUCUCUCCAAAUUCACUGCUCAGAAAAAUCACCUCCACACUGACACUUCCAAUUUUCAUCUUAAAGACGUGCAGUCGAUCUCCUCUCCUUGAUCACACACCAAAGAAUUUGUAAUAAACGAUGCUGACCGGGAAGAUGGAUGCUGAACCUUUGUAAAUAGGAGACUCCCACGUGGCCCGAGGUUUGGAUGUUGGCUUAGUAGAACACGGAUGCUGGCCGAUGGUUGAACAUGGAUCUCACCGGUUGAUCGGAUGAGGGCACACAUCUUUGUCAGAUAGCACACGGAACCGCAAGAUGUUGGCAGAUCAUCACAGGUAAAGGAAAGGGUUGCUCCAACCGGGAGUGGUGGUGCUUGGCAUGUUGCAUGUUUAACGUUGAUGGAUAGAUGACAGACCACAGGCCGCUGGUAGCGCCGAUGAAUGGGGAAGGAUUGUCGCCGCAUAUUCGUGUUUCCAUGGCCACUAACAGGUUCUGCAGCCUGCAAAUAGACUACCUGCACCUUUCCAACGGCACACAGGCCCUCUAGUAGACUUGCCGAUUGCAGAGCCGACUGACCAAUCACGGAGGUUGGAAGACGCGACGACAUAGGAAAAACCAGGUCAACGUGCAGUCAACAAACUCCUCUCCUCUCAACAGAUGAAGGAAAUGAUGCCGCGAUGACGAGUCGCACACAUUCAAAGGAACACUGUCAGCGAGACGGGAUGCGGAUAUGCACAUUCACUUGCUAGGGAGUUAUCACAUCCAUCCAUCUGGGAAGUCCAACAGGUGACACCACAAUUCCUAGAAAUGAAUAACCAGGUUCCUCCCCCACCCCCAACAUAGGACAAUUUUAUCACAUUCAUGGAACUUUCUAGCUCAUACCACACAAUAUACGCCAAUCUAUGCACACACUACUACUUGCAUUGAUCACUUACUUCACCUUUUUAAUGCGCUAUAGCAAACCAUGACAAAAUUUAAAUGCCACCAAGCCACAAUGUUUUCAAUGUACAUGCAACUUACACACAUUUCCUGCUAACAUCUCUCUUCUCCUACUCGACAGCCUGGUAAACUUCACAACAUCAACACUACUGCAAAACAAAAUUUCUCCCACACACAACCCACAUUCAACAGUCAUCCCUUCGUACGACACCCAACAACACCGCUUUCAAGUUUAGAUAUCUUUGACACUACGUACCAACCAACCAACAUGCAGUCACGAACGAUCCCUAGCAACAAUCACGACCUCCUCUUUACAUCUGGGAUGUCCACUACACUCAUUCAAAAUGCACAAUCCUACUGCUGCAAAAGCAAACCACCAACUCCACACGCACUACUUCCAGCAUAACGGGCAACACACAAAAAAAACUUCGCUGCGAUCAGGUCACAUAUAGAUUUUAUAUGGUAUCACACGCAUUUAAUACUGUGCAUUUACAAUGCAUACAAA